rnacentral:rRNA from 1 species
CCUACGGGCGGCUGCAGUGGGGAAUAUUGCACAAUGGGGGAAACCCUGAUGCAGCGACGCCGCGUGGGUGAAGGAGCGUUUCGGCUCGUAAAGCCCUGUCUGCAGGGAAGAAGAUGACGGUACCUGACCAAGAAGCCCCGGCUAACUACGUGCCAGCAGCCGCGGUAAUACGUAGGGGGCAAGCGUUAUCCGGAUUUACUGGGUGUAAAGGGGGCGCAGACGGAAAUUCAAGCCAGGAGUGAAAGCCCGGGGCCCAACUCGGGGACUGCUCUUGGAACUGGAUGGCUGGAGUACAGGAGGGGCAGGUGGAAUUCCUAGUGUAGCGGUGAAAUGCGUAGAUAUUAGGAGGAACACCGGUGGCGAAGGCG